rnacentral:rRNA from 1 species
AAUAUUGGACAAUGGGGGCAACCCUGAUCCAGCCAUGCCGCGUGUGUGAAGAAGGCCUUCGGGUUGUAAAGCACUUUCAGAUGUGAGGAAAGGAUAGUAGCUAAUAGCUGACUAUACUGUGACGUUAACAUCAGAAGAAGGACCGGCUAACACCGUGCCAGCAGCCGCG